rnacentral:lncRNA from 10 species
AUAUAAAUGUGUUAUAUAUAUAUAUCACAUUUUCUUUAUCCAUUCAUCCAUUGAUGGGCACUUAGGUUGAUUUCAUAUCUUGGCUAUUGUACAUAAUGCAGUGAAUGUGGGGGUGCAGAUCUCUCUUUGAGGUAUUGCUUUCAUUUCCUUUCAGUAUAUACCCACAAGUGGGAUUGCUGGAUUUUCUAGAUUAUAUGGUAGUUCUACUUGUAAUUUUUUUAGUAGCUUCCAUACUGUUUUUCAAAGUGGCUGUACUAAUUUACAUUCCCGCCAACCAUGUACGUAAGUGUUCCCUUUUCUCCACAUCUUUGCCAACACUUGUUAUCUCUCGGUUAUUUUUUUUAUAAUAGUCAUUCUAAUGGAUGUGGGGUGAUAUCUCAUUGUGGUUGUGAUUUGCAUUCCCCUGAUGAUGAGUGACAUUGAACACCAUUGUAUGUACCUGGUGGCCAUUUGCAUGUCUUAUUCUAUCCAUUCUGUUUUGUAUCUUGAGUUUCCCACAUAUCAGUGAGCUGUAAGCAUUUCUCCAUAUCAUUAAAUAUUAUUUGCACUGCCCCUUCCUUCAUCCUAAAGGCAGGGACCUGAACUGGGAGAGCCUCAAAGUCCUGCCAGGCUUCUGUCGGUGCCUGGUGCAUCAGCAGUUCUGCCGGCCUGGCAUGGGUAGAGAUGGAAACAAAUCCAGAAGAGUCACUGGAGUAGUAAUAGGAGUCUAAACUUAGGUUGUGGUAGACAAUCCUAGUUUCAAAUCCAGAUUUUGCCACUUCCAGGCUACCAGGCUCUGAGCCAAUCAAUUUCCCUAGCCAGUCAGUUUCCCUCUGAACCCUGGCUUCCCCAUCUGUAAAAUAGGGAUAGUAGAAUCUAUUUCAUGGUCCUUUUGUGUGGCCUCACUAAGCUAAUGGAUGUCAGGACUUGACCCACAAGGAGUCCCCUGUGAAGAUCAUCUAUUAUUAUUGUGAGAAUGUCAGGAGGCCCGAGUAAGUUCCUUUUCCUCUCUCUGGCUUCAAUUUCUUCAUGUGUACUAUGGGGGAUUGUACCGGAUGUUGCUUUUCAGCUCUGAUUUUCUUGAGGUCCUUCUUUACUCUCUGCUCUUUGCCGUGGGAGCACACAAUGAGACAACCCUCACCAGACACCGAAUCUGUGAGCACCAUGAUCUUGUACUUCUCAGCUUCUAGACCCCCUGCAUGUGUUAUGCUAGGGUCUCAGCUCUGUGUUGGUUGUCUGAGUCUGAGUGGACCAAGAGAUGGCAGGCAGCGAAGGGGAAGGGCAAAGCAGCUGGCAGAGCCAUAGCCCAGGGCCCCGACAGCUGUGGCCAUCUGUGUCUAGACACUGGACAAGCUCUACCUCCAAUAGCGGUGACGUAGGGCCUUUCCUAGGCAGCCACUGUGUGUCUAGGAGUUGCUCAGAGGACUAUGCCCAUUGUCUUUAGGCCACAAGAUGAAGUAGAAGGGGAGAGGCUGGUCCAUCCAGCCCCCAUGUCUGGGGCUCACAGACCUUUGUGAAGUCCAGGCAGAUGGUGGUGGGAACUGCUGACAUUAAAAGCCAAACCUGGGGUGGGGAAUUCUACAGCCUCCUGGGUUCACAGGUCCAGGUGGGAAGCUUUUCAUUGCUCAACCAACUUUAUUCA